GUUUGUCCCCUUUGUUAAAAUAGCGCGUUGUUAGGCCAGUUAAUCAGUUGACUCUGAUUUCCUUUUCAGAUAAAUGCAAUGAAACAGAUCUAGUGAGGCUGGAUUUUUUUAAAUGGCCCCCCCUCUCUCUCCUCGCUUGUACAUGAUGUCACAUUCUUGAGCCAAUCUGUUGGCGCUCCGAGCGGCACAACAAAUUCUGUUCUUAUCCCUUUGCAGUGGUCCAGGUUGUCAGCUGUGGACAGGAAGUCUGUCUUCAGGGACGAUACGAGUGUGACCAUAAACAGCACCAACUUCUGAACAGUGCAGGUUUCUAAAGCUCAUGGACAUUUUACCUGCAGCCAUCAUCUCACCAGUGCCUGAUGUGCAACUCUCAACAGAGAUCAGAAAGGGGAAAGAUUUACUAGGCAACCAUUUCACCAGCACCAGGCAAUUGGUCAAUCCUCGUUGAGCCCUAUCUUUGAAAGGGUUGCAUGAUUAUGCCAUUAUAUCAUAAUUACUGACAUAAAAUUAGUCAUAGUGGCAAUCCCUGUCAAGUUCUACACUCUGACACAGUCAUAUUAUACUAGAAUUCAUAAAUAACUUAACCCUACGAAUUAUGGCUUAACAACAAAUUCAAAAAGUCUAACACAGCCCAGUGAAAUAUCUGAAUAGCAGGGGCUGAAUUUUUUAAAAAAUAAUUAGGAUCAACUAUGUCUCAACGUACCUAUAUGAGAGAAGGACUGUGGUGCUAGAAGGUUCCAACUAUACAGUCAGUCAUAUUCUCCAGCCAAAAUAAAAAGGCAAAACCUUUGUGAAGAACUACAACAAAUGCAAAUGCUUUCAUACAGGAUACAACUGCUCACUGAAUGGUUUGAUGAGCUGAAGUCUUCACAUCCACCAGAUCUUGACCUACGUGAACACUUUUCUGAGAUCAUGGUCUGGAGUGUAAGACAGCGCCUCUCCACCACCGUCAUCAAAACGCCACUUGAGAGGUCACCGGACCAAAGGCUACGUAGCACAUUGUGCCACUGUCAAUACUAGAAAAUAUUUGACUCCAUGGAUAAUUCGAUCCAUACAAACAAUAAAAAUCACACUCUCACACUACUCAGAGCUCACAUGCAGCAAACAUCAACAGCACAAAGAGACAUUUCACACAGUAAUAUUGAACACCGAGGUCGAGCACCACUGCCCACGGGUCGAACUGUAUUGAGCUGUAUUAGAAACACAUAAACCUCUCGCUCUUCCCUUGAAACUCUUGUGCAUUUAAAAAAAAUAAAUAAAUACACAAAACCUGAAGUAUCAAGCAACAGAGCAGACACUGGAAGUGCUUGUUUAGCUGUGCCAUUCUUUCAUAUCCUUAGCUUUUGUUACGCAGGGAGAAUAAAGGAAAAACAAUUACGCUUCCUUGAAUUAAACUGCCAUCUAGAAAUGUGCCAUCAAAGCUUACAGCAGGUGUAAACUGAAGAAAUGGAAGGAAGACCAU